GCACUUCAUUGUACUCCAUGCUCAGUGCUGCUCACCGUCUGCUUUAUAAUACAGGCCACGGUGUGCUUCGCUCAGCCCCUGAAAUAGAUGGUAGUCACUCUGGGAGCAAGAACUGUUUGAUUUCUUUUUGUUGCUCUGGCAGUAUCUGGCAAGGGUCUUGUACAAGAUCUUGAUCGAAUUUAUGGAAGUGAUUAGCCACACUGUAGAUAACGAUGGCUUUCUGCUUGCAGAAACAAGUGGAAGCCGGUAUCUGUGUUACCAUGGAGAUGGUGAAAGAUGCCUUGGACCAGCUUCGAGGCGCGGUGAUGAUUGUUUAUCCCAUGGGGUUGCCACCGUAUGAUCCCAUCCGCAUGGAGUUUGAAAAUAAGGAAGACUUGUCGGGAACACAGGCAGGGCUCAACGUCAUUAAAGAGGCAGAGGCGCAGCUGUGGUGGGCAGCCAAGGAGCUGAGAAGAACGAAGAAGCUUUCAGACUACGUGGGGAAGAAUGAAAAAACCAAAAUUAUCGCCAAGAUUCAGCAAGUAAGUACUUUUUGCUUUAAUGUGUCAGUAGUUUUUGUUAUUUCCCUUCAAACUGAUAAAAAUGUACAGUGAAUCCGAAAGAUUUAAACUACUGGUACAAAUAUUUUAAUCUUAUUGGCUCGGGUUUAAACUAAAAAUAUCCUCUUCCUGCACACCAACAAAAACUGGAAGAAAAUAUGGAUUGAUUAGCAAUAUCUAGAGUUUGUUUUAAUAUGUGGGGGAGAGGAAAUAUACUAUGUUAAUUUCAAGCGUAAAAAUAGGGCUGCAAGUAAACAGAUAUGUUCCUUGAAAUGUAAAAUUUCGCCUGACACUGAUUUCAGGCUUUUUCAAACUGCUGAUGCUGUGUACAGGAGGGGGAGGAGGAAAGGUUCGAGACCUUUGAAGGACAUCGUGUAGCGCUGUAACCUGAGGGGCCGCCUUGGUUUUGUGGGUGCUCCUACGUCACUAGGCUGUGAUUUUGGGGAAAUGGGGCCCUCCACCAUAUGUAGAUCCAGAGUCCGUGGCUCUGAGCAUCCUCCCUUUCCCACUGGACCUGCCUGCAGUGUCUGCCUUGGGAAUGGUCAAGACAGAGAUGGCAUCGUGCAGCCUCUGGUCUCCACACAGUGAGAGUCCAGGGCUCAGGGCUGCUCAAGACCAAGGCUUCCCUUGAUGCUUCACUUCGGGUGAUCAGACAUGGGGGACCUGUUUAUCUUUAGUAGCCGGCAAAGGCAAUCGUAAAACAUUUGUUGUAACUUCAGGAUUGUCACUCUAAAAACACCUUAAUCCACAAUUUGCUCUGCUCUCCUCUUUGCAGAGGGGACAGGGAGCUCCAGCCCGAGAGCCUAUUAUUAGCAGUGAGGAGCAGAAGCAGCUGAUGCUGUACUAUCACAGAAGACAAGAGGAGCUCAAGGUAGCGGGGGACAGAUGGGCUUUCUGCAGUGCUGGUGCCCACACAUAGCCUGUGUGCCUUACCUGGGGCUGCUGGGGAGCAGUGAGCUCUGCAGAAUGCCGGGGAGGGGUCUUUCUAGAGCUUCUGUCUGCAGGUCUGUCGGGGUCCUGCCAGGUGUCCCCUGGUGUUAGACAUGGCAGUGUCCUGCUCCUAGAGGGCAGGGAGAGGGGGAGGUCAGUCAUGGACUCUUUCUUCAGUCUCUUUAUGUGCAAAACACUUUCCUGAAAUGCCUGCCUGAAUAAAACAUACUUAUUUCCAGAGAUUGGAAGAAAAUGAUGAUGAUGCCUAUUUAAACUCACCAUGGGCGGAUAACACUGCUUUGAAAAGACAUUUUCAUGGAGUGAAAGACAUAAAGUGGAGACCAAGAUGAAGUUCACCAGCUGAUGACACUUCCAAAGAGAUUAGCUCACCUUUCUCCUAGGC
rnacentral:sRNA from 1 species